AUGCAAGGCAAGAGGACCGACCUGCGGAAGGUCGGCUCGGAGCGCAUCGACCACGGCAUGCGGGUCAAGUUUAACCCCCUGGCCCUGCUGCUGGACUCAUCUCUGGAGGGCGAGUAUGAUCUGGUGCAGAGGGUCAUCUAUGACGUGGAUGACCCCAGCCUGCCCAAUGACGAGGGCAUCACAGCCUUGCACAACGCCGUCUGCGCCGGCCACACCGAGAUCGUCAAAUUCCCGGUGCAGUUUGGCGUGAACGCCAACGCUGCCGACAGCGAUGGCUGGACUCCGCUGCACUGUGCGGCCUCCUGUAAGAACGUGCAGGUGUGUAAGUUCCUGGUGGAGUCCGGGGCUGCUGUGUUCGCCACCACCUACAGUGACAUGCAGACAGCGGCAGACAAGUGCGAGGAGAUGGAGGAGGGCUACGCACAGUGUGCUCCCUGUUCCUCUACGGUGUACAGGAGAAGAUGGGCAUCGUGAACCGUGGGGUGGUGUACGCCCUGUGGGACUACGAGGCUGAGGACGAUGACGAGCUGGCCUUCCAGGAAGGCGACUGCAUGACGGUGCUGCGGCGCGAGGACAAGGACGAGAGAGUGGUGGUGGGCCCGCUGCGGAGACCGAGAGGGCUACAUUCCAAGAAACCUGCUAGGGCUGUAUCUGAGGAUCAAGCCACGGCAGAGGAGCUUGGCUUAAAUUAUAUCGGCUCACGUUCCACCCUACUCGCUGAAAACUACUCCGAUUUGAAGUUACUUUUUGAAAGGCGAAUUAAGAACCUAAAAGUCCAGUGCUUACAUUUCACACUUCUGGUCUUUUGGAUGUCAAAGUAAAGCAUUCCACUUCAAGCUUUUGAACCUGUCUGUGAAAGACUCAUAUCAUGCUAAAGGGUUUUCAACCUAUGUAUGGAUAAUAUUCACAUGGUCACGCUGUUUCCUUUUCACUGCAGGAAUGUAUACACCGCGCAACAUUUGUAAUGGAGACUUCUGAACAGUGUUUUUUUUUGUAGACGUGUGAUUUUUCUGAGCAGAAUCCAUUUUGUAAGGGUUUGUAACUGUGGCAGUUGGAAAUGUAAAGCUUUUUCUACGUCAUGGCAAGCUUAUAUCCACACAAGAUACAGUAUAUGAAAACUUUGGUUGUGUAUUUGACUAUUUUCCUUUAUCUUCCGUUAUCACAAACAAUCUUGCUGUGGGUGUACAGUGCCUUCAGAAAGUAUUCAUACCACUUGACUUAUUCCACAUUUUGUGUUACAGCCUGAAUUCAAAAUGGAUUCAAUUAGUUUAUUUUCUCACCAAUCUACACACACUAGCCCAUAAUGACAAACUGAAAACAUGGUUUAGAAAUGUUUGCAAAUGGAUUGAAAAUGAAAUACAGAUAUCUAAUUAACAAGUAUUCACACCCCUGAGUCAUUACAUGUUACAUUACAUGUCUUUCUGGAUUAAUCUCUCUCUAAGAGCUUUACACACCUGGGUUGUACAAUAUUUGCACAUUAUAAUUUUUUUUUUUAAAUCUUCAAGCACUGUCAAGUUGGUUGAUCAUUGUUAGACAGCCAUUAUCAAUUCUUGCCAUAGAUUUUGAAUCCGAUUUAAGUCAACUGUUUCUAGGCCACUCGGGGACAUUCAAUAUCAUCUUGGUAAGCAACCCCAGUGUAUAUUUGGCCUUGUAUUUUAGGUUAUUGUCGUGUUGAAAGGUGAAUUUGUCUCCCAGCAUCUGUUGGAAAGUAGACUCAACCAGGGUUUCCUCUAGGAUUUUACCUGUACUUAGCUCUAGUCUGUUUUAUUUUAUCCCAAAAAAACUCCCUAGUCUUUGCCGGUGACAAGCAUGCCCAUAACAUGAUGCAGCCACCACCAUGCUUGAAAAUAUGAAGAGUGGUACUCAGUGAUAUGUUGUGUUGGAUUUUCCUCAAACCUAACAAUAUUCAGGACAUAAAGUUAAUUUGUUUGCCACAAUUUUUUGCAGUUUUAGUUUAGUGCCUUAUUGCAAACAGGAUGCAUGUUUUGGAAUAUUUCUUUCUUUAGGUUAGUAUUGUGAAGGAACUAAUGUUGUUGAACCAUCCUCAGUUUCACCUAUCACAGCCAUUAAACUCUAACUGUUUUAAAGUCACCAUUGACCUCAUGGUGAAGUCCCUGAGCAGUUUCCUUCCUCUCCGUCAACUGAGUUAGGAAGGAUGCCUGAACCUUUUGUAGUGACUGGGUGUAUUGAUACACCAUCCAAAGUGCAAUAACUUAACCAUGUGCAAAGGGACAUUCAAUGUAUGUUACCAAGUAUCAUGGGCAUUCUUUGUGAGGCAUUGGAAAUCCUCCCUGGUCUUUGUGGUUGAAUCUGUGUUUAAAUUCACUGCUCGACUGAGGUACCUUGCAGAUGAUUGUAUUUUUGGGGUACAGAGAUGAGAGUCAUUCAAAAAAUCAUGUUAAACACUAUUGCACAUUGUGAGUCCAUGCAUCUAAUGUGACUUGUUAAGCAAAAAAAAAAGGGGGUUGAAUACAUUUCAGACAUUUCAGCUUUUCAUUUUUAAUUCAUUUGUGUGUAGACCCGUGACACAAAAUCGGCUUUAAUCCAUUUGAAAUUCAAGCUGUAACACAACAAUGUGGAAAAAGGUUGAGGGGUGUGAACACUUUCUGAAGACACUGUAGUUCCACCUAUAUUUGAAGCUAUGUAAUGUUGUUACUUUCAGUUUUCCUAUCAAUGUUUAUUUUCCAAUGUUUUUGUAGAACAUUAUGUGUAUGUGUGUUUAAGUACUGUAUGUAGCCUGGCAUGCUGUGCUAUGAAGUGCUAAUAAUGCUGAAUGCACAAGCUUCAACGGCAUUGCUCAACAUCACCUCCUCAUUCCAAACCUUCAUAUCUUAAAGAGAUGCUCAACGUUGUUCGUGGAAAGGUAGCGUCCUGUAGGUUUUUGCGCCAACCAUAAUCUAGCCCAUCCUAUUUAUAACAAUUAGGUGGUUGAUAAGCUGAAUUGGGUCAGUUUACAACUGCGGUUGGAGCGAAAAACCUACAAGAGGGUAGCUCUCCAGGAACAAGGUUGGGCAGCCCUGCACAUGGACCAGACAGAAUUUUACCAGCAUUUUUUUGGGUUAUACAUAACUUUCAUGAUUAAGCCAUUAUAAAUACGUUUUAAUCCUUUAUAAAUGAUUUGAAAUACCUAAUUUCAAUGUAAAUGAUGAAAUAGUCAUAUGAAUAGUAUAUAGACCCUUAACUAUUUAUACAUGUUUAGCCUAUUCAUGAAAGCCAUUAUAAGAGUGAACACAUUUUAUUAAUGGCAAUUGAGUCAUUUAAACCAGUGACAUUUCAAAAACUUUGCCAUCAGCUAAACUGCAAAAUUCACAUUAAAUGUGUUCUGUGAACAAUCGGUGUUGACCAUCAAGCCAAAUAAGUUCAGCUUUUAAAAAGUCAAUACAAAUAUGCAAAAA